GACGAACGCUGGCGGCGUGCUUCAUACAUGCAAGUCGAACGAGAAGCUGACUUCGGUCAGUGGAAAGUGGCGGACGGGUGAGUAAUAUGUAGGAAAUCUGCCUUUAGGAGGGGGACAACAGAGGGAAACUUCUGCUAAUACCCCAUAUGAGCGUAGCUGAAAUGCUAUUCUUGAAAACUCCGGUGCCUAAAGAUGAGCCUGCAUCUGAUUAGCUAGUUGGUAGUGUAAUGGACUACCAAGGCGACGAUCAGUAGCUGGUUUGAGAGGAUGAUCAGCCACAAUGGGACUGAGACACGGCCCAUACUCCUACGGGAGGCAGCAGGAGGGAAGUUUGCGCAAUGGGCGAAAGCCUGACGCAGCAACGCCGCGUGAACGAUUAAGCCCUUCGGGGUGUAAAGUUCUGUCAGUGGGGACGAAACUUGACGGUACCCACAGAGGAAGCACCGGCUAACUCCGUG
rnacentral:rRNA from 1 species